CGAACGCCACCUAUGUGUCAAAGCCGAAACUACGAAGUCGAUGGUGGGUGGAUCCGGCGAGAGGCUGAGUAUAUUUUAAGUGAGCUGAUAUAAGGAAGACUCAACAAUGACAGACUCAAAGUACUUCACAACCACCAAAAAGGGUGAGAUCUUUGAGUUGAAAUCUGAACUGAAUAGUGACAAGAAGGAGAAGAAGAAGGAAGCUGUGAAGAAAGUUAUUGCUUCCAUGACAGUUGGAAAGGAUGUAUCUGCCCUAUUCCCUGAUGUGGUCAACUGUAUGCAGACUGACAACCUGGAACUUAAAAAACUUGUCUAUCUUUAUCUGAUGAAUUAUGCAAAGUCCCAGCCAGACAUGGCAAUCAUGGCUGUCAAUACAUUUGUGAAGGAUUGUGAAGACCCCAAUCCUUUGAUCCGAGCCUUAGCAGUGCGCACAAUGGGAUGCAUUCGUGUGGACAAGAUCACAGAAUAUCUUUGUGAGCCUCUGCGCAAAUGUUUAAAGGAUGAGGAUCCAUACGUAAGGAAGACUGCUGCUAUCUGCGUAGCCAAGUUGCAUGAUAUUAAUGCUUCUAUGGUAGAAGACCAGGGAUUUUUGGAUCAGCUAAAAGAACUAUUAUCAGACUCCAAUCCUAUGGUUGUUGCAAAUGCAGUUGCUUCACUUACUGAAAUUAACGAAGCAAGCAGUUCAGGACAGCCUUUGAUGGAGCUCAAUGCCUCAACUAUCAACAAACUGUUAACUGCUCUGAAUGAGUGCACAGAAUGGGGACAGGUGUUCAUCCUCGAUGCCCUCUCUCAAUAUAGCCCGAAGGAUGAGCGGGAAGCACAGAGCAUUUGCGAGCGAAUUACCCCUCGUUUGGCCCAUGCCAACGCUGCAGUAGUGUUGUCUGCAGUGAAAUGUCUUAUGAAGUUUAUGGAACUGAUGGUCAGCGAUUCUGAAUUUGUGAAGAACCUUUCCAAAAAGUUGGCGCCUCCUUUGGUCACACUGUUGUCCUCUGAGCCUGAGGUUCAGUAUGUGGCUCUACGUAACAUCAACCUUAUUGUCCAGAAGAGGCCAGAUCUUCUGAAGCAUGAGAUGAAGGUCUUCUUUGUUAAGUACAAUGAUCCAAUUUAUGUGAAGCUUGAAAAGCUUGACAUCAUGAUUCGUCUUGCAUCUGAGGCCAAUAUCAUUCAAGUUCUCUCUGAGUUGAAGGAAUAUGCAACAGAAGUGGAUGUUGAUUUUGUGCGAAAAGCUGUAAGGGCUAUUGGACGCUGUGCCAUCAAAGUAGAAACAUCUGCAGAGAGAUGUGUGUCUACUCUGCUUGAUCUUAUUCAGACAAAGGUAAAUUAUGUCGUUCAAGAAGCUAUUGUGGUAAUCAAGGAUAUCUUCCGAAAGUACCCCAACAAAUAUGAAAGCAUAAUCUCGACUCUCUGUGAGAAUCUUGACACCUUGGAUGAGCCAGAAGCAAGGGCAUCAAUGAUUUGGAUCAUUGGUGAGUAUGCAGAGCGAAUUGACAAUGCAGAUGAACUGUUGGAGAGUUUCCUUGAAGGAUUCCAUGAUGAGAACACACAAGUGCAGCUACAGCUUCUCACAGCAAUUGUCAAACUUUUCCUGAAGAGACCCACAGAUACACAGGAAUUAGUACAACAGGUACUAAGUCUGGCUACCCAGGACUCUGACAACCCAGAUUUGCGAGACAGAGGAUUUAUCUACUGGAGGCUCUUGUCUACCGAUCCUGGUGCAGCUAAGGAAGUUGUACUUGCCGAGAAGCCUCUCAUUGCUGAAGAAACCGAUCUUAUUGAACCAACCCUUUUGGAUGAGCUGAUAUGCCAUAUUGCUUCACUGGCAUCGGUGUACCAUAAACCCCCCUCUGCAUUUGUUGAAGGGAGAACUGGUCUCCGAAGGGCUCUUCCUAAGUCUUCUGGUAGUGAUGGAGAGUCGAGUGGAGACAACCAGCAGCAAGCACCACAGCCCACUGUCAUCCCCAACCAGGACUCCCUCAUCCCAGACUUACUCAACAUGGAUAUCAAUGCUCCGCCAGUUAUUCCUCAAGCAUCACAGCCAGCAUUCUCCGGUGGCACACUGGAUCUCCUGGGCGGUGGAUUAGAUUCCCUCUUGGGAGGUGGUGGGGCUGAUGUCGGAGCUGCCCCUGCUGCUCCAGGGGUUCCUCCAACUGCCACAUCCUCAGCAGGUGACACAGGGCUACUAGGUGAUAUCUUUGGCAUUGGCUCCUCAAGCACACCAGUUUACAGUCCACCUAAGCAAGUUUGGUUGCCUGCUAAUCGUGGAAAGGGAAUGGAAAUAUCAGGAACUUUCUCACGCAAGAAUGGGAAAUAUUUCAAUGGAUUUGACUCUGUGUAACAAGGCAAUGCAACCUAUCUCUGGCUUUGCCAUACAAUUGAACAAGAACAGCUUUGGGGUCACACCAGCAGCUCCUUUGAAUGUGGCUGCUCCUCUAGCUCCCAACCAGUCCAUUGAUGUUAGUCUCUCUCUCUCCACCAAUGGCCCGGUUCAGCGUAUGGAUCCACUUACAAAUUUGCAGGUUGCUAUCAAGAACAGCGUGGAUGUGUUCUACUUCGCAACAGUGAUGCCAAUACACAUCUUCUUUACUGAGGAUGGAGCCAUGGACAAGAGGGUUUUCCUUUCUACUUGGA
rnacentral:misc_RNA from 1 species